rnacentral:rRNA from 1 species
CCUACGGGAGGCAGCAGUGAGGAAUAUUGGUCAAUGGACGAGAGUCUGAACCAGCCAAGCAGCGUGAAGGAUGACUGCUCUAUGGGUUUCAAACUUCUUUUAUAUGGGAAUAAAAUGUUCCACGUGUCGGAUUCUGUCUGUACCAUAUCAUUAAGCAUCGGCUAACUCUGUGCCAGCAGCCGCGGUACUACGGAGGAUCCGAGCGUUAUCCGGAUUUAUUGGGUUUAAAGGGAGCGUAGGUGGGUUGUUAAGUCAGUUGUGAAAGCUUGGGGCACAACCGUAGAACUGCAGUUGAAACUGGGAGUCUUGAGUACAGUAGAGGUAGGCGGAAGUCGUGGUGUAGCGGUGAAAUGCUUAGAUAUCACGAAGAACACCGAUUGCGAAGGCAGCUCGCUGGACUGCAACUGACGCUGAGGCUCGAAAGUGUGGGGAUCAAACAGGAUUAGAUACCCCUGUAGUC